GACGAACGCUGACGGUGUGCUUUAGACAUGCAAGUCGAACGAGAAAGCCCUUCGGGGUUAGUAAAGUGGCGAACGGGUGAGUAACACGUGGGCAAUCUGCCCCUCGCAGGGGGACAACCGGAGGAAACUCCGGCUAAUACCCCGUAAGUUCAAAGGGAGGCAUCUCUCUUCGAAGAAAGGUAGCUUCGCCAUCCGGCGAGGGAUGAGCCCGCGGUGCAUUAGCUAGUUGGUGGGGUAACGGCCUACCAAGGCGACGAUGCAUAGCUGGUCUGAGAGGAUGAUCAGCCACACUGGGACUGAGACACGGCCCAGACUCCUACGGGAGGCAGCAGUCGGGAAUCUUGCGCAAUGGGCGAAAGCCUGACGCAGCAACACCGUGUGUGUGAGGAAGGCCC
rnacentral:rRNA from 1 species